rnacentral:tRNA from 1 species
GAUACCUUAGCUCAAUUGGCAGAGCAGUUUGCGUUCCAUCCAUUUCCGUUCGACUCGGGACAAUCAAUGGUGAUAUGGGUAGUGGGCAAUAGGCGAAAGCGACGGUUAACCGAUACAGGUUCGAGUCCUGUAGGUAUUCCA